GUGCUUGCUACGGCUGCACAUAUACUAAAUUGGAUCGAUACAGAGAAGAUUAGCAUGGCCCCUGCAAAAUUGUGACAUGCAAAUCCGUGAAGCGUUCCAUAUUUUG
ensembl:snRNA U6 U6 spliceosomal RNA